rnacentral:rRNA from 1 species
GGCGUUUACCACGGUGUGAUUCAUGACUGGGGUGAAGUCGUAACAAGGUAACCGUAGGGGAACCUGCGGUUGGAUCACCUCCUUACG